CCCUACGAAGGCCUCAGUUUCUUGCAAUGCUUUUGCUUUGUCCCCGAGCAGCUCCUGCUUCAGGUGGUGUUACACAGCUGCUGGUUCAGCAAGUUCACUCCCGCAGGAAAGCUACUAAGGGCUGCCUUUUGGGCCACUGAAUCCUCUGCAGACUACUGGUUGGAAGCAGUUUUUCCUGGCCUGCAUCUCUACAAGUGAGACACGCCAACCAUUGGUGCCUGGCCAGGAGGAGCCACAAUGUCCUGGAGCCUCUCUCUGUGGAUGGUGAAAUCUUGGGGAGUAAAGUCCUAAAAGAACAAAGCUUAACUCUGCAGUAAGAACUAUGCUUUAAACAGGGUGAGUUGUUUGUGCUUAUUAGUAAUUAAAUUGACAUUUUCUGUCAUUUCUUUCAACAGUC